rnacentral:pre_miRNA from 1 species
UCUUGCUUUGGCUUUAAAGGAAUCUAGUUUGAUUACGAAAACUAGUUUCCUCUAAGGUUUUAAACAUUACA